CAGCCGCCGCGGUAAUGCGUAGGUCCCGAGCGUUGUCCGGAUUUAUUGGGCGUAAAGCGAGCGCAGGCGGUUAGAUAAGUCUGAAGUUAAAGGCUGUGGCUUAACCAUAGUACGCUUUGGAAACUGUUUAACUUGAGUGCAAGAGGGGAGAGUGGAAUUCCAUGUGUAGCGGUGAAAUGCGUAGAUAUAUGGAGGAACACCGGUGGCGAAAGCGGCUCUCUGGCUUGUAACUGACGCUGAGGCUCGAAAGCGUGGGGAGCAAACAGGAUUAGAUACCCGUGUAGUCCCUGUCUCUUAUACA
rnacentral:rRNA from 1 species